rnacentral:rRNA from 1 species
AACGAACGCUGGCGGCGUGCCUAAUACAUGCAAGUCGAGCGAACAGACGAGGAGCUUGCUCCUCUGACGUUAGCGGCGGACGGGUGAGUAACACGUGGAUAACCUACCUAUAAGACUGGGAUAACUUCGGGAAACCGGAGCUAAUACCGGAUAACAUGUUGAACCGCAUGGUUCAACAGUGAAAGACGGCCUUGCUGUCACUUAUAGAGGGAUCCGCGCCGCAUUAGCUAGUUGGUAAGGUAACGGCUUACCAAGGCAACGAGGCGUAGCCGACCUCAGAGGGUGAUCGGCCACAUUGGAACGUGGACGCGGUCCAGGCUCCUGCGGGAGGCAGCAGUCUGGAAUCUUCCGCAAUGGUCGAAAGCCUGACGGAGCAACGCCGCGUGAGUGAAGAAGGUCUUCGGAUCGUAAAACUCUGUUAUUAGGGAAGAACAAAUGUGUAAUUAACUAUGCACGUCUUGACGGUACCUAAUCAGAAAGCCACGGCUAACUACGUG